rnacentral:rRNA from 1 species
GACAGAGGGUGCAAACGUUGUUCGGAAUUACUGGGCGUAAAGCGCGUGUAGGCUGUCUUGCAAGUCGGGUGUGAAAGCCCUGGGCUCAACCUAGGAAGUGCACUCGAAACUGCAGGACUCGAGUCCUGGAGGGGAAGGCGGAAUUCUCGGUGUAGAGGUGAAAUUCGUAGAUAUCGAGAGGAACACCGGUGGCGAAGGCGGCCUUCUGGACAGUGACUGACGCUGAGACGCGAAAGCGUGGGGAGCAAACAGG